CGGGAGGUCGCCGGGCGUCUGCGCAUGUGCGCCGAGGCCCAGAGGAUGGGAAGCCUAGAGGGUCAAAGUUCUCCAAAAGAAGACCCCCAGAGAACGAGCACACCACCUACUCUUUCACAUAGCCGUGAAAACAGAACCAGACAGCAAGGGCAGGAGGAAGGAGCACUGACUUGGGAAACUGAGAAUAUAAUAAACCAUAACACUGUU